UUCUUAAUUACCUCGUUCAUAUCAUAUAUAUCCUUCAUUAGCUUCUUAAUUAUCGCAACCAAAUACAAGUUUUUUUCUUUUUAUGAUCAUGAUGAAGAGGGUGCUUCUUCUGCUCUUUGUUACCAUGCUGGUGCUGCUGGCCGCGGAGGCUGUCAUGGACGGCACGGUUGGAAAGAUGGGUGUGCGUAAGCUGGCCCAAGAUUUCAACGAUCGAGCCACCAAAACAGGAGUGAUCGACAUAGCAGAUGAACCUGAACGUGAAGAUGUAGAUAAUGCUGAAGCUGAUGUCACGGUCGAUGAUAGCGACAACAACAAAGACGACGACGAAAAUCUAGGUUAUAAAAACUACGACAAGGGCUCCGACACUGAAACUCACCGUUACUUCUCAAGUGACAAACCAUAUAGACCUUAAAAGAAAACGUAGAUUUGAAGAUCAUCAUCAUAUAUAUCAUCAUCCCAGUUUGUCAAUGUGAAACGUGCAUGGAGCUGAGAAGUUGGGGAUCGGACGAAUGGCUAAGGCAUGAAAGCUUUGCGUUUCCCACAAAGUUAUGAAUCUUUCUAUGUUGUGAAAAAUGAAUGUACAAUAGGAUCGAAAUAUAUGUAUAAUUAAUCUUCUAAGCUAUGUCCUGUAAUUUGGAUUGUAAUUUUGAUUUGUGAAGGGAGGAUGAUUAAUGUAUACAUAUAGCUGGUGAUCUUGUUAUAAUUAAAAAUAACUCUGUAUUAAAUAUAUAUAUAUAUAUAUUAGUACAAUCUGUGAGG